rnacentral:rRNA from 1 species
AGGGCACCACCAGGAGUGGAGCCUGCGGCUUAAUUUGACUCAACACGGGAAAACUCACCCGGCCCGGACACUGGAAGGAUUGACAGAUUGAGAGCUCUUUCUUGAUUCAGUGGGUGGUGGUGCAUGGCCGUUCUUAGUUGGUGGAGUGAUUUGUCUGGUUAAUUCCGAUAACGAACGAGACUCUAGCCUACUAAAUAGAUCGUCGGCUUACAAACGCCGGCGAGACUUCUUAGAGGGACAGGCGGCGGUUCAGCCGCACGAAACAGAGCAAUAACAGGUCUGUGAUGCCCUUAGAUGUCCGGGGCUGCACGCGCGCUACACUGAAGUGAUCAGCGUGCAAUUUACGUUUGGUGAUCUGUCAAGAUUGCCCAACCCGUUGAACCUUCUUCGUGAUUGGGAUAGGGGAUUGUAAUUAUUCCCCUUGAACGAGGAAUUCCCAGUAAGCGCAAGUCAUAAGCUUGCGUUGAUUACGUCCCUGCCCUUUGUACACACCGCCCGUCGCUACUACUGAUUGAAUGA